AUGGAGACCUGUAUGAAUGGCACGACGAGGGCUUAACUGUCUCCUUUUUCCAGUCAAUGAAAUUGAUCUUCCCGUGCAGAAGCGGGAAUACCAACAUAAGACGAGAAGACCCUGUGGAGCUUUAGACACUAAGCCAGACCAUGUCAAAUACCCCCCUUAAGGAAUUGAACCUAUUGGACCCGCUGUGCUGAUGUC
rnacentral:rRNA from 1 species